rnacentral:lncRNA from 1 species
UUAGAUCAACAUAUAAGUACAAAUAAUGAUAUCUCAGAAGAAAAUUCUUUUGAUGAUGUAUCAAAAAAUAAAUUCUAUUCAGAAAAAAACAAACAUACUAAAAAGUUUAAAACAACAAAUGAUUAUAUUCAAAACAAAAUAGAAAAAAGAAAAUUAUUACAACUUAAGAACUAUGAAGUUAAAGAAAAAUUAAAAGAAUUUGAUGUACAUUUAGAAAGCAUUAAAAAAAGUAUAUUUUUUUCAAACGACAAAUCAGAUAAAAAAAACAUAACUCAUAAAGGAAAUUACAACUCAUUAGAUAAUGUUCUACCUAAAAAUAAAAAAACAAAACAGCUGAACAAUGUGCAAAAUGAUACUUCUAGGAUACAUGUGAGAAAGGGGGCAGAACAAAGAGGUUUGCGUUUACAGAAUGGUACAAAAAGGAUAAAUGAUGAAAGUGGAAGUGAUAUAAGAGAAGAAGAUGAAGAAGAAGAAGAAGAAGAGGAGAAGGAAGGGAUAAAAGAGGAGGAGGAAGGGAUAAAAGAGGAGGAAGAAAUAAAAGAGGAGAAAGAAAUAGAAGAGGAGAAAGAAAUAGAAGAGGAGGAAGAAAUAGAAGAGGAGGAAGCCGAAGAAGUGGAAGUAGAUGAAGAAGCGGAAGUAGAUGAAGAAGCGGAAGUAGAUGAAGAAGCGGAAGNNNNNNNNNNAGAAGCGGAAGUAGAUGAAGAAGCGGAAGUAGAUGAAGAAGCGGAAGAAGUAAAACAAAACAAAAAAAAAUCCAAAACUAAAAAUGACAAAACAAAAAAAUCAAAGACAACACAAAACAAUGAAAGUAAAAUGAACACGAUUGACACAAAAACUAAAAGAAGUAAGCAGAUAAUGAAUUUAGAUGCACAUGAUAAAGGUUUGCUUUGGUGUUCUGAUGAAAGUGAUAAUGAAAGUGAUAAUGAAAGUGAUAAUGAAAUAAUUAACAACAUAUUUAAUGAUGCUUAUACAGGUUUCUCAUUAAAUAAAAAAGAUCACGUUAUUUUAAUAAAAAAUAAAAUAGCUGAUGUGUUAGAUACUUUUGUUAAAAACGGGAAUAAAGAAUUAUGUUCUUAUUUUGUUAAUGACUCUAAUGAAGAUAAAAAGAAUUUACCUCUGUAUGUGUGUAUAGAAAAAAAAGAAUAUACAUUAAAAGAUAUGAUAAUCUUAUUAGACAAUUAUAGUUUUAGUGCCCAAAAAAAGUUAUUAUUUAGAAUAUAUUAUAUUAACAUGUUUAACAGCUUUAAUAAACGAGAAAACAUUUAUCAUUUAUCUUUUUUUUUUUCUUUAAUGGAUUAUUGUAUAUUAAAUAUAUGGAAAUGUUUAAAAUUUAACUUAAAACUUGUUAACUUUAUCAAUAAUUAUAAAUCAGUUAUUUUUCAUUUUACUCGUCACAUGAAAUCUGAAUUAUAUAUGUAUAUUUCAUUUUUAUUGUUAUUUGUUUUUGGUAAAGAUCAUGGAGAAAUUGAGACCAACAAAUUUUAUAAUAAAAAGAAAAAUGAAUUAGAAGCAUACGUACAAAUGAAUAAAGACAACACUUUAAAAUUUUAUCAAGUUCAUGUAUAUUCACGAAUAUUAAAAAGUGUUGAAUUAUUUAAUGAUAUAUUUGAUGUAUAUAAGGAAGAAAAUGAGAGUAUAUCAUCUAUCCAUUUUGCAGUUAUCUUUAUGAUACUUAUCAUAUAUCCAUUUAAUAAGAACAUUGCUGAUACUGGCAUAAAUGAUAGUAUAAGUAAUGACAUAAAUGGUACCACAAGUAAUGACAUAAAUGGUGCCACAAGUAAUGACAUAAAUGGUGCAAUAAAUGAAGAGAUAAAAUCGGAUGAACAACUUAUGGAUAAUGAAUUUUUCUCUAUAAGUAAUAAAAAUUAUAAUUUAGAUAAAACCCGUUUAUGUACAUUUUUACAUUUAAACGAAGAAAAUGUACUCGAAAAUAAUAAUGAAAAAGAAGAAUCGACACCCUUAAUUUCUUACAUAAUCGAAUUUGUUGAAUUUUUAUUUUACGAUCAAUUUUAUUCAAAAAAUUGUAAUUUAGUUUAUGAAAAAAAAAAUGAUAAUUAUGAACACAUUUUUAAUAGUUGUACCUAUAACAACGUGAAUUACUUAAAAGAAUACUUAAAAAAAAUUAAUGAAUCUUUUUGCUUUGGUUAUUAUGAAAAUAUACAAAACUUAAUGAAUAAUCAAUUUGUAAAACAAAUGGAAAAACCAAAUUCAAUUAUUCAUUAUCUUGGUGUAUUUUAUAAUAAAAAAGUUUUAAAAAAUGCGUUAAUUUUAUUAAAUAUUUAUAAUAUCAUAACACAAAAUGCUAAAAAAAGGUAUAGUCAGACUUAUUUAUAUUUAUCUCUAAAGGUAUUAAAUACGCUUUUAUUUUUUAUUAUACAGGAAAAGCACAAAAGUGAAUACAAUGAAAAAAGGCAUACAGACAAACAAAAUGGACAACGCACAGAUGAGAAAAAUGAACAAAACGACAAAAACGACAAAAAC